rnacentral:lncRNA from 1 species
AAGAAAUUGUCACAAGAAUAAACAGAAAAUGAGAAAACCCUGUUGCAAAUAAAGAGAUUGGACAAGUAAUCAAAAACUCAGGCCACAAAUAACAACUUAGACCAAGAGUGGCUUCAUUGCUUAUUUUCAACAAACAUUUAAUGAAACAACCCUUCACAAAACUCUUCCAAAAAGUAUAAGCAGAGGAAAGAGUUCCCAACUUACAUAAGCCUGUAUAACCCUGACACCAAGCUAGACUAAAGCAUUAGAGAAAGCUACAGAACAAUAUCCUUUCCAAAUAUAGACACAAAAGCAUUCAACAAAAAACUAGAAAACUUAUUCAGCAGCAUAUAAAAAGGAUUUUAUGCCAUGAUCAAGUAGGACUUAUCACCGAUAUGCAAGACUGGUUCAUAAUAGAAAACUUGUUUAAUGUAACAUACCAUAUUAAUUAGAAUAAAAGACAAAAACUGCAUGACCAUGCCAAGAAACACACAAAAAGUAUUUGAGAAAACCAACACUCUUAAUGAAAAAACAUUAAAAAAAACUAAGGAGCAGAAACACACUUCCUCAAUUUGAUAUAGGGCAUCUAUGAAAAACCAAAAGCUAACAUUAUACUUAAUAGUGAAACCCUACAUGUUUUCUCUCUAAGAUCACAAACAAGACAAGGAUAUCCACUCUUGACACUUCUAUUCACACUGUAGUAGAGACAAUUAGGGAAGAAAAAAAUAAAAACUAUUUCUAUUUACAGAUGCCAUGAACUUGAAUAUAGAAAAUCCCAAGGAAUCCACUGAAAAAUUACAAGAACUGAAACAUGAGUUUUGUAAGUUUGCAGGGAGUUCGAAGCUCCAAGAAGAGGAAGAGAGCUGGGGAACAACUGGUCGGUGGAGCAGUCAGAACACACACAUUUAUCAAGUUUCCCACCUUAUAUGGACACAGAUCCACAUUACAAGAAUACUUGAAUAUCUUGAGGCUAGCAUCCAUGUCAUGAGGACCCUUAAGCAUCCGGUGGAGAGUGGUUCAAGUGGCCAAGAGCCAAGGCCUGCCAGCAACAACAUAGUGAGCUUGGAAGCUGCCACUCCUCUAUUUGAGCCUUAG